rnacentral:rRNA from 1 species
AAGGAUCAUUAAUGAACCUUUGAGAGUUGAGCUGGCGAUUUACUUCGCAUGUGCUUGCUCUCUCAUCCUUUAUACACCUGUGCACCUUUUGAGGGGAUAGUAGAUAUGCCUAUGGUAUGUCGAGAUCCCCUCUAACACAUACACUUUAUUUAUUAUCGAAUGUUCAAACGCUUAACAGCAUUUAAAUACAACUUUUAACAACGGAUCUCUUGGCUCUCGCAUCGAUGAAGAACGCAGCGAAAUGCGAUAAGUAAUGUGAAUUGCAGAAUUCAGUGAAUCAUCGAAUCUUUGAACGCACCUUGCGCUCCCUGGUAUUUCGGGGAGCACGCCUGUUCGAGCGUCAUGAAGCUCUCAAACAUAUACUUUUCUUUAUUGCGAAGUAUAUGGUUGGAUUUGGACUCUGCUGUGUAACAAACGGCUGGUCCGAAAGAUAUUAGCUGAUCCUAGUGAGACUUGGUUCUACUCGGCGUGAUAAUUAUCUAACGUCGAGGACAUCGCAAGAUGGCCAGAUCGAAACUUUAUGGAUUGCUUCUAAUCGUCUUCAUCGACAAAUUUUAUCAAUCUGACCUCGAAUCAGGUGGGACUACCCGCUGAACUUAAGCAUAUCAAUAAGCGGAGGAAAAGAAACUAACAAGGAUUCCCCUAGUAACGGCGAGUGAAGCGGGAUGAGCUCAAAUUUAAAAUCUGGUGUCCUUUGGGCAUCCGAGUUGUAGUCUAGAGAAGCAUUUUCCGUGUCGGACCAUGUACAAGUCUCCUGGAACGGAGCGUCAUAGAGGGUGAGAAUCCCGUUCUUGACAUGGACCCCCGAUGCUAUGUGAUGUGCUCUCAAAGAGUCGAGUUGUUUGGGAUUGCAGCUCAAAAUGGGUGGUAAAUUCCAUCUAAAGCUAAAUAUAGGCGAGAGACCGAUAGCGAACAAGUACCGUGAGGGAAAGAUGAAAAGAACUUUGGAAAGAGAGUUAAACAGUACGUGAAAUUGUUGAAAGGGAAACGCUUGAAGUCAGUCGCGUCUUUCAGGGAUCAGCCUUGCUCUGCUUGGUGUACUUCCUGUUCGACGGGUCAGCAUCAGUUUCGGUCGUCGGAAAAAGUGCGCAGGAAUGUGACAUCUUCGGAUGUGUUAUAGCCUGUGUUCGUAUACGGCGGCUGGGACUGAGGACUCAGCACUAGUUGCUUGGGAUGCUGGCAAAAUGGCUUUAAGCGACC